rnacentral:tRNA from 1 species
CGGACGUAGCUCAAUGGUAGAGCCUCUGCCUUCCAAGCAGAUCACGCGGGUUCGAUUCCCGUCGUCCG